rnacentral:lncRNA from 12 species
CUGCCAUGGGCUAAACUGACCACGGUCAGCGGCUGUCCUGCCCCGGCACCCCACAGCCCGUUGCUGGCGGGCCUCUGACCUCACAGGUGCCCCGGGUGACACCAGCAGGCCCGGGGAGACAGGGGCAGGGGAGUGGGGGGCCCUGGAGGUGUCCGUGAGGGUGCUGGCGGUGGGCGGGGGGACAGGCGGGGGCCGCAGAGCGCAGCGUCUUCGUCCACCCCUGGCACCCCCUCCCCGUGCUGCGGUGCGCUCGGCCCACCUGUCAGCAGCCCCAGGGCCGAGGGCCGAGGUGCGGAGCGCAGACAGGCGCGGAGGUCAGGAGAGGCUUGUCCAGGAGGCGAGGCCGGGGGUGGUGGUAGCCGGGCUGGGGGGCUGGGGGGGCCCCGACUCCUUGGACAGCUGCGCUGCUUGCACCCACUAAUCCCUCGCUGGGUGAGGCCUGGCUCCCAGCGGCCCCUCUCAAGUCACCGGGAUCGCAAGGUCAUCUCUGGGAAACCUGUCUCCCUCUUGCUUAGGCCACGAUCUACGGAACCCAGUGUUUCCCAUCAUAAAGCCAGACGUCCCAGUCAGGGCACCCAGGUCACCCUGCUCCUGGGGACGGCUCACCUGAUUUCUUUUCAGGACAGGAAGUUCCCUUUCUGGGCACAGUGCAAGUGGGAAGCACAGCUUCUUGUCCUUGUCUUCUUGUCUGUCCUCACCUCACCAGUCCCCUUUGAUGCGGGACCCAGUGACCCACUUUUGCUGGAUGAGGAGAGGGCACUGGGGGGAGGGUGUUGUGUAUAGGGAGGGGUCUGCCCCAGCCUGGGCUGUCCCAGGGCGCUGGGGACAGGAGAGGGGGGCUCCUGCCCAUGUGGUGAUGCCCCUGGCAGUGGUGACGGGGAGACAUGCCCGAGUUCCGCUCCUUGCUCCUUGGCCAGGUGCUUUUGCGCCACCUCCCCUUCGGGGUGGCAUCCCCUACCCCCGCCCCAGUGUCUGACCCCGAGCACGAGCUCGGGACACAGGCCUGUGGACUCAGCAGAGGUGCUGGGCGUGGAGACGUGUUCCCCCCUGCCCCCCCCCCCGCGCCCCCCAGAGCCUUCAGCCUGGGAGCAGUGACGUCCCCUGGGCGAGCCUGUUUCUCCAACUGCAAAGUGCAAAGAAUAAAACCUCUGCCACUCACGUGGCA